GGAUCGGACAGGGAAAUGUCAGCUAUUUUGGUCCCUGUCCACCUUCUGCCACCAUCACCUCAUGGCCGCAAGAGACCAGGAAAGCUGUCUGCAAGAGAAGCCUGUGAACAUCUUGUGAAGUUCAUUAAGGUGAGGUUACGGUCGAAUGCAAUUUGGAAGAUUUGGCUGCCACAGGUAGCACGUAGGUAUCUUUUAAAAAAAACCUGCUUGUUGGCAGGACAAUAGUCCUUUAUAUCUAAAGUCAGAGAGCCUACAAUACAGAGGGAGAUAACAGAUGUAUGAAUUUUAGAACCAACAAUUUAAUAAGCAUCCAAAGAUGCAGCAUGCAAAAAAAGCAGGAAUACUUAAGGGGAAACAGCUGUUUAGGUUUAAAAAUUCUGUAGCUUUUAUUUUUAAGUUUCUGUUCAUGUUUUAAGAUGGGUUUAAACUGAGCUAGGCCACACAACAGUGAUUACAAUUAAUAAUCUAUACUGAUUAGUACUAAAAACAGCUGUUAAAUGAUCUUAAAAUAUAGUUUUAAAGUUUUACAUUUAUCUGUUAAGGUGCCUAUCAUUUUGUCUAAGACAAAAUAAAUAAAUAAAUGUGUGCUUUGCUCACUGAAAUGUUAAAGUACUGCAUUGUGCUGAGAGUCAAGCUCCGUGAUUUAUCAGCUUACAACAACUACUCUGGUAAAACACAGUGUUUCCAAAGUCGAGUGCAGUCUGUUUGCUUCAUUGCUUCAGCAGUGCGCACAACAUUUGAAAAAAUAUCUCUUUCCCAGAUCCCAGUUUAAUCUACUGUUUUUCAGAUAAGCAUUUGCUGCAGUUUAUUAAAACCUCUUUUUUAAGUUUAAAAAUAAAAAUACAGUUUGAAUAGUUGACAAUUGUUGGCGUUGAGUAAUUGUGAUUUUUCUAAUUGUAAUUUUGCUUGAAAUGCCCAUCACCAAUAGGGAUAUUGGUCUGGCAUCAACUGAUACUCAAAGCCCAGAUAUUAUUGGACAAAUUGUAUUGGUAUUAUCUAUAAAGGAAAUAUUGUUACAUUCCCAUUUCAGCUAUUCAAACCAUCAUCCCCUUUCAAGAAGAUGUUAAAAUAAUUUUAAGAUUAAAUAUAUUUUCUCAAGAUGUUAGUGAACUGUGAAUCGUGAAAAAACUAAAUUACGUUUUUGUGUCACAGACAGGGACCAGCAUCCAAGGGCAUCUAGACAGCAUCACAGAAAGCUGUCAACCUUAUCUUCUGGCUGUGGGAACCCAGAAAAG